GGAGGUUUCUGACCCUUCUGAGUUUGAUAAUGGCUCUAAUCAAGUUAAAAUAGUGUUAUGCAAUUUGCAUUCACGGAGUGGACAAUAGUAUUUAAUCCCGGUAGAUAUAUCGUUUGCUAAAAAGGUGUACCAGAAAGAUCGGAUAGACCCCUUAAACUUUUACUUUAAAUGUGUUAUUCUCAUGAUUUUUUAAAAUUACCGUAACUUUGUUUUUACAACUAUACAGUGCAAUGUAGUAGUUCUUUUGUGGUUCUGACUUGAGAGAUAAGAUUGGAUUAAUAGACCCGGAUUAGUACCCGGUUAUUCCAAAUUAAUAAGAUUUCGGGAGUAAAGUAAUAUUUAAACCGGAAGUAUAUUGGGCGCACCCUAAAUUCUCCUUGGAGCUUGAGUAGUAAUCGAGAUCCCUCGUUAUCAGCUUAGACUAUUGGCGCAUGUAUGUUCGUCUAAGAUCUAUCUUAAAGAUAUUGUUCGCAAGAGAUAAAUAAUCUAGUAGGACAGAUAAAUACCUGGUACAUGUUUAAGUGUGUAAUUUGGGCUACACUGCCUGAUGGCUGGUUCGGAUUGUCGAGAGAGAUUUUGGCAUGAAGUUGUAAAGGACAGUAAAGCGCUGUUUAAUGGGUGCUUGAAGAAUACCUAGGGAGGGUACAAAUCAUCCAUCAAUUGCCCACAGGGGAGUAAGUUGUAGUAAAGUAGGUGUAGGGGAAUCUGCACCUGAGUGU
rnacentral:ncRNA from 1 species